GCGUGUUGAUUGGACAAAUCGGACGUCCGUCAGUGAAGGGCAUGAAGAGGCGUGACUAGUGGAAGCCGGCUUUCCUAGUGCGGGCGUUCGAGGCCUGGCCGGAUACGCCAAGAUGAUAGGGCAGGCGCGAGGCGGGGCUUCUGCCGCCCGCGGCACGCCGGGAAGGAGUCACGUCCAGACGCAGCUUCCGGUUCCUUUUGUGGUGGCUGAUUGCUACGGUAACGCAGCCGGUAGUCCUGCGAUGGCGUGCACCAGAGAGGAGGUGGCCCUCCACGCCUCACCGGCUGAGGCCAGCCGCGAACCUGGCGUGUCCUGGUCUGCCCGGGGCUCCAGCCUCGGACCCGCCAUGCACGUGGACAUCCAAGCCGUGUCCUGCUGCCUCCCGUGGGAUUCUUCCUCCAGAAUGAGGUUUUUUUUUUUUAAGCAUAAAACUAUAAGUAUUCUGUCGAGAUGAUCGGUGGCCAUGGAUCUUCAGAAGACGACUUUUAUAAAGGGUCCGGGGAUGGAACUCUGGCUUGCAGGAUCCUCUGAUUCCAGGUACCAUACAAAGAUGUUUACAAGAAAUGCAGAGGUAAAACAGCUGCUCCGAAAGCCAAGCUUUUGUGUCCUUAACGGCAGAGCGUCAGUUAAAUCGCCCCAGCGCCCGGAAGCUUUUAUUCAUGUUUACACUGCUCUGUCGGGGAGCCACCAUUGCUUUCUGACGCCAGCACUGCUUCUCGCUUGCGGAGCUCCAGACCAAGGAGACGAGAGUGGGUGGGGUAGUGGUAAAACACCCAGGAACCAACUGGCUUCAAAAGCCGCUCACACGCGUACGCCCUCUACUGGACGGUGAAGAAACCUCAUCGUCACAGGCCCAGUACUGUGGCACUCUGAAAUCAGACGCUAUCAGAAGUCAACAGAACUGAACUGCUGACUCGCAAGCUCCCCUUUCAGCAUCUGGUGCAAGAAAUUGCUCAGGACUUCAAAACAGAUCUGCGCUUCCAGAGUGCAGAUACUGGCGCUGAGCAGGAGGCAAGUGAGGCCUAUCGGGUUGGCCUUUGGGAAGAUACCAAUCUGUGUGCUAUCCAUGCCAAACAUGUAAAUCUCCAAAAGAUAUCCAGCUACACACGCAGAGAACAUGCUUAAGAGUCCACUAUGGGGCUGGAGAGAUGGCUCAGUGGUGAGGGGCCCUGACUGCUCGUCCAUGAGUCCUGAGUUCCCAGAAACCACAUGGUGGCUCACAACCAUCUGUAAUGGGAUCUGAUGCCCUCUUCUGGUGUGUCCGAAGACAGCAACAGUGUAUUCAUAUACAUAAAUAAAUAAAUCAUUUUUUUAAAAAAGAAUAGGUUA
rnacentral:lncRNA from 1 species